GGGGAUAUAGCUUAAGUGGUAGAGCACUUGCUUAGCAUGCACAAGUUCCUGGAUUCAAUUCCCAGUACCUCCU
rnacentral:tRNA from 1 species